CCUACGGGUGGUAGCAGUGGGGAAUAUUGGGCAAUGGAGGAAACUCUGACCCAGCAAUGCCGCGUGAAUGAAGAAGGUCUUCGGACUGUAAAGUUCUUUAGUCAGGGAAGAAUAAAAUGCCGGUACCUGAAGAAUAAGCUCCGGCUAACUACGUGCCAGCAGCCGCGGUAAUACGGAGGGAGCAAGCGUUGUUCGGAAUGACUGGGCGGAAAGGGUGCGUAGGCGGUUAUAUAAGUUAGAAGUGAAAUACCCAGGGCUUAACUGGGGAGCUGCUUCUGAAACUGUAAGACUUGAGUGCAGUAGAGGUGAGUGGAAUGCGUGGUGUAGCGGUGGAAUGCGUAGAUAUUAGAAGGAACACCAGAGGCGAAGGCGGCUAACGGGACUGCAACUGACGCUGAGGCACGAAAGUGUGGGGAGCAAACAGGAUUAGAUACCCUUGUAGUC
rnacentral:rRNA from 1 species